rnacentral:rRNA from 1 species
GCCUACACAUGCAANCUCGAACGGGGAUUGGUAGCAAUACCAUGAGAGUGGCGCACGGGUGAGUAACGCGUAUGCAACCUACCUGUAACAGAGGGAUAGCCCAUAGAAAUGUGGAUUAAUACUUCAUAGUCCUGAUGAGUCGCAUGGCUUAUCAGGUAAAGCUCCGGCGGUUACAGACGGGCAUGCGUGACAUUAGCUAGUUGGUGAGGUAACGGCUCACCAAGGCAACGAUGUCUAGGGGUUCUGAGAGGAUGAUCCCCCACACUGGUACUGAGACACGGACCAGACUCCUACGGGAGGCAGCAGUGAGGAAUAUUGGUCAAUGGGCGCAAGCCUGAACCAGCCAUCCCGCGUGCAGGAUGACGGCCCUAUGGGUUGUAAACUGCUUUUAUACAGGAAGAAAAAUCUCCACGUGUGGGGACUUGCCGGUACUGUAUGGCGUAGGCGGCUUUUUAAGUCAGUGGUGAAAUCCUGUCGCUCAACGAUAGAAUUGCCAUUGANACUGAAGAGCUUGAGUUCAGUUGAGGUAAGCGGAAUGUGUAGUGUAGCGGUGAAAUGCUUAGAUAUUACACAGAACACCGAUUGCGAAGGCAGCUUACUAAACUGACACUGACGCUGAUGCACGAAAGCGUGGGGAUCGAACAGGAUUAGAUACCCUGGUAGUCCACGCCGUAAACGAUGAUCACUCGCUGUAUGCGAUACACAGUAUGCGGCCAAGCGAAAGCAUUAAGUGAUCCACCUGGGGAGUACGAUCGCAAGGUUGAAACUCAAAGGAAUUGACGGGGGCCCGCACAAGCGGAGGAACAUGUGGUUUAAUUCGAUGAUACGCGAGGAACCUUACCUGGGCUUAAAUGGGGAACGACAGCUGCCGAAAGGUGGCCUUCUUCGUUUAUUCGAUGAUACGCGAGGAACCUUACCUGGGCUUAAAUGGGGAACGACAGCUGCCGAAAGGUGGCCUUCUUCGGACGUUCUUCAAGGUGCUGCAUGGUUGUCGUCAGCUCGUGCCGUGAGGUGUCGGGUUAAGUCCCAUAACGAGCGCAACCCUUAUCGUUAGUUGCCAGCGGGUCAAGCCGGGGACUCUAGCGAGACUGCCACCGUAAGGUGAGAGGAAGGUGGGGAUGACGUCAAAUCAGCACGGCCCUUAUGUCCAGGGCUACACACGUGUUACAAUGGCCAGUACAAAGGGCAGCUACCUGGUGACAGGAUGCUAAUCUCGAAAGCUGGUCUCAGUUCGGAUCGAAGUCUG